CCUACGGGUUGCAGCAGUGGGGAAUAUUGGACAAUGGGGGCAACCCUGAUCCAGCAAUGCCGCGUGUGUGAAGAAGGCCUUCGGGUUGUAAAGCACUUUUAUCGGGAACGAAACAUUGUCGGCCAAUACCCGGCAAGACUGACGGUACCCGAGGAAUAAGCACCGGCUAACUCCGUGCCAGCAGCCGCGGUAAUACGGAGGGUGCAAGCGUUAAUCGGAAUUACUGGGCGUAAAGCGUGCGCAGGCGGUUUGUUAAGUCUGCUGUGAAAUCCCCGAGCUCAACUUGGGAAUUGCAGUGGAUACUGGCAAGCUGGAGUAUGGUAGAGGAAGGUGGAAUUCCCGGUGUAGCAGUGAAAUGCGUAGAGAUCGGGAGGAACACCAGUGGCGAAGGCGGCCUUCUGGACCAAUACUGACGCUCAUGCACGAAAGCGUGGGGAGCAAACAGGAUUAGAUACCCGCGUAGUC
rnacentral:rRNA from 1 species